UAGGGAAUAUUGCUCAAUGGGGGAAACCCUGAAGCAGCAACGCCGCGUGGAGGAUGAAGGUUUUCGGAUUGUAAACUCCUUUUCUAAGAGAAGAUUAUGACGGUAUCUUAGGAAUAAGCACCGGCUAACUCCGUGCCAGCAGCCGCGGUAAUACGGAGGGUGCAAGCGUUACUCGGAAUCACUGGGCGUAAAGAGCGCGUAGGCGGGAUAGCAAGUCAGAUGUGAAAUCCUAUGGCUUAACCAUAGAACUGCAUUUGAAACUGUUAUUCUAGAGUAUGGGAGAGGUAGGUGGAAUUCUUGGUGUAGGGGUAAAAUCCGUAGAGAUCAAGAGGAAUACUCAUUUGCGAAGGCGACCUUGCUUGGAACAUAACUGACGCUGAUGCGCGAAAGCGUGGGGAGCAAAACA
rnacentral:rRNA from 1 species